UGGAGAUAAAAUAAUAAAGACCCGUAGCUGACCACUGAACAGCCCAGCGGUUGAUGAUUGAAGACGAUAAUCGAUCGACAUACACUCUAUGUUGUCGAUUGACAGCGAAAUGCGCAAAGGCCAGAUUUGGUUCCAACCGGCUAUAAGUCCAAGUCCCACAAGAAUUACCUUGCCCCUGACGAGUUUUAACCUAAUAUUUAUGUGCUAUGCCAUUGUUCUAGGCAACGCACACUUUCUACACUUUCAUACAUCAAAAUACUUAGAGUCUUAGGUUUGGAGAGAAGAUACAAGAAUUCAUUCAG
rnacentral:lncRNA from 1 species